rnacentral:lncRNA from 1 species
UUUUUAUUUUUUGUAGAGAGAAGGUGUUGCUAUGUUACCCAGGCCGGUCUUGAACUCCUGGAUUCAAGCAAUCGCCCUGCCUUGGCCUCCCAAGGUGCUGGGAUUACAGGUAUGAGUUUCAGAUAAGUAACUUACCUCCGACUUGUCCCGCUCUGCAUAUUGUCCUUCAGCUCCUAGAUAUUGGGAUGCUAUUUGUAUAAGUUUCUCAGGACUGCUGUAACAAAUUACCUCAAACUUGGUGACUUAAAACAGCCAAAAUUUAUUCUCCCACAGUUCUGGAGGCCAGAUGUUUGAAAUAAAUGUGUCUGCUGGGCUGGGUUCCUCUGAAGGUUCUAGCAGGGACCUUUCCUGGCCUGGUCCAAAUUCUGGUGGCUCCAGUUAUUUGGUGGCUGCGGCUGCAUCACCCAGCCUCUGCCUCCAUCUUCUCACAGCCUUCUCCUCCUCCUGUGUGACUCUUCCAUUUGUCUUGUAGAAUGUUUGUCACUGGAUUUAGGGUUCACCCGGCUAAUCUAGGAUGAUUUCAUCUAAAAAUCCUUACUUAUAUCCACAAAGACUUUUUUCCAAAGAAGGUUACAUUCACAGGUUCCAGGGAUGAGGGUGCGGGUCUAUUUUUUCAGGGGCCACCGUUUAACCCACCGUGGUAUUGCUCAUUUAUAUCUCUGCAUCUAACAGGGCCUGGCAUGCCGAGUUUAACAGUCACUAAUGUAUUUGUUUUUGAUGGUUUAGAUUUAAACUUGGACCCAGGCACUCUAUCUGCUCCAUUCCCAGAUCUCAAUAAAGGAUGGUAUGUGUUUGGAAUACAAUCAAUGUCUUUGACACUCCUUGACUAUGAAAUAAGCCACUAGGCCAAUUAGGAUAAAUAGUUUCUUGCUUUCCUUAGGGAUUUCUGUUAGAGUAUUUCAUGCUAUGGUUUCAACUUAUCACAUGCUAAGUAUGCAGGAAUCACAUAAGUAUAAGGCAAAUAUGUUUUAAGGUCUUUUUUCUCCCCAGAAUGGGGUCUUUUCAGACCCUCAGUGUCUGAUUAUAAAUUAGAUUUUAUUUAUGAGAUAAACUUUCAUGUAUGUAUUUCAUAAUAUUUAUGAGGAUACAAAGGUAAGUAUUUAUAGGAGUACAACUAUAUAUGUAGAUGAUUUUAUUUCCAUCAUGUGGCAUUUCAGUGCCACCUGUUACUGACUUCCAAGUGUCCAUUUAGAUGAUAUGCAUACAAAGGAAGUGACAUGCUUUUUAUUCCUUUAAAAAUAUAGCUGAUGUGAUGCCCCAAUAGAGGGUAAAUGAAUAUAAUCAAGUUUUCCCUGCUUUGGAGUACAAAUUUUAAGCUUUUAUAUUAAAACCUAUUUAUGCCUAGUGUUCCAUUAUUGGAACACUCAGCAUGUGGGAGUUAUUUAUAUCCUACUGCUCAAAGUUAUCACCAGGGUCUGAUUUUUCGCACUCAAAAAAUUGCAACCUCAGGCAUAAAUGGGUUAAAAUGUACUAUGACGUAUCUCCGACUUCAUCCUGGAAUGGUUUUAUCUGACA